rnacentral:lncRNA from 1 species
UAGAAUUCAAAGUGUGCACUUUAUGAAACUGGAGAGUGUUCAGUUUUCAAAUUUAAAAAUAGCCAUAUUUGCUUGGUCAAAUUAGUAUAUCUAUAUAAAAAUCAAAACAAUACAUGUAAGUUUUUAGGGGAAGAAUGAAAAUUUUUCCUACAAUUAUACUUAUGGAAAGAGAUUUUUGUCCCAUCAUAAACUGUCAAGAAUAGAGGACUUAUUCAUCUAGAAUUUUUUUCAACUCUUCAAAAUCAGUUUACCUUUUCUUUUUUAAAUGUAAUGUGAUUUUCAUUCCUGUUAUUCACCAAAUAUUUCUGUUGUAUGGCCCUGUGACUAGUUCCUGGUGAGUGAAUUGUGAGUAAAAGAGGCUUCUGGUUUAGAGCACUUAAGUUUCGAUGUGAGCAUCUUUAGAGCUCUCUUCUGUUUGGUAUGGUGACUAGUCACAUUCGAGAUGGUGAUUGCCCCAGCCGUCUGGGUUCCUGAGUGACUUCUACCAUAUGAACAAAACCUCUGGGUUUAUUUACAUGGGCAUGUGAGGGAGACAUAAAUAUUUUGGUACAAACUACUGCAGUUAGGGAAUUUUUGUUUUUCGUGCCUAACCUAACUUAUCUUGACCAAUACAGGAAUGAAUCCUGAAAGCAGAGUGCUGCCAUUAAAAAAAAAUCUAAACUAAACUACCUAUUACAGUGGCUUGGGUGAUAGAUGGUAAUGCUGCAUGAAGUGAUCCACAUUCUACCAUGCUCUGGCAUAUUAAACAUCUUACAGGCAUUUCCUACAAUCCUCAAGGCCAAAUUCCAAAAGUGGAACAUGCACAUCUCUCCUUAAAAACCAAAUUACAAAGACAAACAGGGAGUACAGCUACCUCCACAAAUGCAAUUAGAUCUUGCCACUUUCACUUUAAAUGUUUUUAAUCCACUUGCAGACAGUAAAAGUACUCCAUCAGAGCUCCACUGGCAGAAGGAUGAUGCUGUGGAUAAGCUCAAGGCACACAUUUUAUGGAAAGAUGUCCAAAUAGGAAAGUGGAAUGGGCCAGUGCAACUAAUAACAUGGGGAUGAGGGUGUGCCUGUAUUUAAACAGAUAAUGGUACACUGUUAUGGGUGCCAUCCCAGAAUGUGUGGUCACGGAGAGAGGACAACUGCAAACCUGUGGUGGAGCCUGCCACCACCAUACACUCCAGUGUAAGCUUUCUCUUGGAUGACCCUGGAAGAAACACUUCAGUCACUGAGAACCAUACAAGCAAUGAAACACAUGACAUGGGGUCAAGGGAAGAUGACCCAGGAAGCUGAGAAGUUGGUGGUGAGCCACAGGCUCCUGUGUUCCCCAGAAAAUACAUUUAUUGCUAUGAUGGCCAUAUCACUUUCACUGUAUGUAUAAGCCCUGUGUCCAGAAAGGAAUAUAGGGCAUAUGUACCAAAGCCACCUUUAUUAUGACCCCUUAUGUGGGCAAAUUAUUCUCCAGAAAUUCAUCAUGAACAGUUAGAUGGGUGCCAGGGCCUUAUAGGGCCCACAAAAUUGUAAAUAUUAAUAGCACCUUAAAUUAUACAUCACCUCUUAUAUCCACCCUUGUGCAUUGAGCCCAGGUCCUUACAAUCCAACUACUGCCUGUCCUUUCAGCCACAAAUUUGGGUGGCUCACCAGGAAAAACAGUUGAUGAUUCUAUCAACAGUUGGGAUCUAUCAAUAUCUCAGAGGAAUGGGUUAACAUCUCCAAGCCCAAUGUUCUCCUGUGUACACCUUAUACAUCUUGCAUUGCCACAGAUGAGCAUGCGUUCCCCCCGCCCCAACCUUGGGCCUCCUAUAAAGGAGACAAGGGACAAAAAAUGCACCAAAAUCAACUUGACUUUAUACAUUGGAACCCUUGAGUAAGACUAGUAGGGAG